rnacentral:misc_RNA from 1 species
GAAUUGCGAUAAGUAAUGUGAAUUGCAGAAUUCCGUGAAUCAUCAAAUCUUUGAACGCACAUUGCGCCUUAAGGUAUUCCUCAAGGCAUGCCUGUUCGAGAAUCAGUUAAACCAUCAAUUCUAGUGUUGCAAAAUGCUAGAAUUGGAUUUGGGAUUUGUCGAUAGACAGUCCUUAAUGCCAUUAAUGAUGUUAUGUGCUUUGCGGCUGCAUAAUGGAACCCAAUGGGCUUUGCUCUAUUAUUCCUUUAUCAGGCGAUCAACAGAGUGUGUAAUGUUAGAGGGUAAAACCAAAAUUUUUACGAAGGUGUCACCACUUUUAAGACUUGAUCUCGAAUCAGACAAGACUACCCGCUGAACUUAA